rnacentral:rRNA from 1 species
GAUGAACGCUAGCUACAGGCUUAACACAUGCAAGUCGAGGGGAAACGAUAGAGAAAGCUUGCUUUUUCUAGGCGUCGACCGGCGCACGGGUGAGUAACGCGUAUCCAACCUGCCCAUCACUUGGGGAUAACCCUGCGAAAGUAAGACUAAUACCCAAUGACGUCUCUAGAAGACAUCUGAAAGAGAUUAAAGAUUUAUCGGUGAUGGAUGGGGAUGCGUCUGAUUAGCUUGUUGGCGGGGUAACGGCCCACCUAGCCUACGAUGGAUAGGGGUUCUGAGAGGAAGGUCCCCCACAUUGGAACUGAGACACGGUCCAAACUCCUACGGGAGGCAGCAGUGAGGAAUAUUGGUCAAUGGACGAGAGUCUGAACCAGCCAAGUAGCGUGAAGGAUGAAGGUCCUACGGAUUGUAAACUUCUUUUAUAAGGGAAUAAACCUCCCACGUGUGGGAGCUUGUAUGUACCUUAUGAAUAAGCAUCGGCUAACUCCGUGCCAGCAGCCGCGGU